rnacentral:rRNA from 1 species
UCUGGCCACACCGCCCUGAACACGCCCAGUCCCUUCUGAUCUAGUAAACUAAGCAGGAUUCUUCCUGGUCAGUGCAGUCGGGAGACUGCCUGAAAUACCAGGUGUUGUCUGUG